AGUGAUCCCGAGUUAUCAGGAAGAAAUAAUUCCUGUCAAAAAUGUUCAUACCCUUUGAACUUACUAAUCCUUUUCUUUGGGAUCUAUGUUAAGAAAAUCUCAAAAAUAGAAAACACUCAGGUACAAAAAUAUUGUUUGUUGUGACAAAAAAUUGAAAACAUCCUAAUGUCUGACUCCAAAGGGAAGGUUAAGUAGAACAUGGAAUGUGAAGUAUUAAAGUUACAUUUUCAGAAGACAUUAUAAUACAUAAAAGUUAAUUAUAGAAAUUAACAAAGACGUAAAGAUACAGACAAAUAUAUAUCAAAACAAAACAUACAUUAAAAAGUUUGAAAAUAAAAUUCCCAAAAUGAAUACAGUAGCUGUGUUUGGGUGGUAAGUUUUGGGGUGGCUUUUCCUAUUUAUUUUCUAUUUUUAAAAUUUUCUUUAAUGGCAUAUAUUUCUUCACUAUUGUAAUCAUUUCAUGAUUGUGCAUUUUCUUAUUUUAAGAAAGCAAUUUGUGUGACUUUGUAGCAGAACACUGGUUCAGGAGACAGAAAGAUUUUUAUAAUCUCAUAUACAGCAAUAGACAAUAAAUGCAAAGGGAAUUUAAGGGUCACAUCAACUUCAUGGCGUCUCUGCAGGAGAGCCCGCCCUUGGGACCAGCAGGGGCACCGAGCCAGCAGCCAUUCUAGCCCCUUCCCUGUCUUACCUACUCAUCCUGCUCUACUCAAGGUAAAUUGCGAUUUCUUUUUAAUUAACACCCCCCCCCAAAAAACAAAUUGUGUGUUGUUGGUGGGCGUGCCUUUUGAUGGCCUGACUCAUGAUUAUUACUAGAAUGUGAUAGCAAAUCAGAGGUUGGGUUCACAUCAUCUUUCGUCGUACCCCUGGGCUGAAGCAGGCCUUAAAACAUACAGGUAUGUGUACUUCCCAUCAGACCGUGCGGUUCAUAGCAGUAAGGACUUGAAGAGGCUCUGGGGUAUGAGUAGGUGGCCCAUGUUAAGGAAGAGGUGUCUUUUUCUUAAUAGCCUUGCUGUCAGAGGGAUACAGGUCUGAGGAACAUAGCUGGUACCUUGCUACAUUUGGACCAUGUUAUGCUAAUGAACUGGAUGUUCGCAGGAGAGGAAUUCCUAGAGCCUCAGUGCACAGAGAUGGCAGAGAAGAGAUACAAAAAGAGGAGGAACGGUGUAACAAAAUUCUUUGGGGGGACUUUCUUUGGUAGCCACUGUUUGUUCCAGGGAGAGUUCUCUGUAGGUCUGUCGGCCUGUAGAGAAGAGAACCACGGAUGGGAUCUGUAAGGAAGGAAAGGCCCCCAACAUGCUUACCCAGGACGCAUGACGCUGUUAGCCCUCCCUGCUCGGGUGGAAAGUCUGUGAACAAUAUGCAGUGUAGACCACAAAAAAAAUUCCCUGGAGUGGAAAAAGCCUGGCAGGCACUAAAGGAAAGAUGCUUCACAAGAAUAAAAUGCGGUUGCUUCGAGAUCAUGCAUUCCAAGCCGGUUCAGACUCAUUGUACUUGGUUGGGAAGCAGCCAGAUUAUCAGGUGUCAGAGAGGCAUAUUGAUGAGUGGGUAAGGACUGAAGCCAGCACCAUUCCUGGCAACCCGUCCCUAAGAAACCAGACAGUAAAUCAUCACCAGUGUCAGCUCUGCAGGUAGCAGAGGGAGAGCACAUUAUUGAAGGCUGUCAACAAGUUCAGAAGCUCCACCUCCAGUGUUAGCUCCCUCCUCACCAGCGCCGUCACGGGAGCUUCUGCAGGAAGCCACGUGGAGUAGCUAUUCAUCUCUCAAAAAAAACUCUUCUGACCUCCUGCCUGAGGGCAGCACCAUCAACUGGAGCCUGCACCGGAGACUGGGCUUGCACGGCAGUGGGGAGGCGCCCAGCCAUUACUGCAGCAGAUGGGCCAGCUGAUCGGGAUGUCGAAGCACUAGUUGUCGUGGCUUCAUAAUACAGGCUUCAUUGCUGCAGCCCAGAAAAAUGGAUGCGUACAUAAUAAAUUAUCUGAUGAGUAAAGUUUAUUGAUGAUCCUUUAGAUUUUACUCUUUGGGUUUUUUUAAUGCCUAUUUAAUAAAACACGUUGCACAUAAACCACACCUGAACGUCAUACCCUUUACCUUAUGGCUGUUCUUUAAAUCAUUUCUUAACUUCCUUUCUGAAAACUGAUUAAUAAUAAUAAUAAAUCAGGAAUAAACAUCAAAGUGCUGUCUCUGGCCCCCAGGAAGGUGCCCUCUGAAAAAAGCCCCUGGGUGUACAUUUACUUUCCUGUGCUAUUCAUGAAAACAUGGUCGUGCUUCAUUAUCAGAGGUUGACCCUGGCAGAUUUCAGAUGAGAAUGUGAAAUAUAAGAAAACGUUUCCUUAGAGUAGAGUGAACUGGCCAGCCUAGCAGUUCUUUCUUUAAUGAGACAGUAACAUAAGAAAAUGUUUUGCCGUGUACUCAGAUUUGGAAACCUCCUCCGUGCAGCUGUGUUGUAAAAUUGGGUAUAUACUUCCUUGACCUCGGUGGGUUUUUUGGCCAAUAGGUUGCUAUAUGAAGAAAAGAAAUUUUUAUUACUAUGACUUAUCCUAUCAAAUUUGGACUAUAAAUUUCACUGAAAUUACUAUUAUGAGAUCUAGGAAAAGUAUAAGUUUCACCCAACAGGCAGUAACUGUUGUUCUCCACAGACAAAGAGGAAAACCAGUCUCAUCGACUAAAUAUUAGUUGUGAUAAGCAGUAUGUGGUCUGCUUAUGUUUCCGAGAAGCAGUGAUGCAUUCAGAGUACAUAUUAGAACUUCCUCGUUGCCCCGGUGCAUUCCCAUGAUUUCAGAGUGCACUUUAAUUCUCAAUUUGCUGUUGAUAUAGAUCGGCCAGAUGUAACCCUGUAGGUGCUCGUGUAUUUUUGGAGCUCCCCUUGCAUGCGGUUUUGUUUCACGUGGGUCACAGUAAUGGGUCACUUAUCCCGAGUAAUGGGCCGCCUCCCCCUCUGCCAGCUGGUUCGAUCAGUCCGAGGGCCCUGUUUACUGUGGGUCACAUGACUAGCUGUGGCGGCAGUAGGGCAGGGUGACUAGUGUGACAGUAACUGUGUUAACUGUUUAUGUUCUCUAAAUCGUUGAGGAUGUUUUAAUAAAUACCAGAAAGCCUUAUUUUGAAGUGAAUAAGCUUGAAACUGAAUUCAAAGAUGACUAAAUUACUGGGCUUUUUGGAAGAUGGAUCCUUUUCUUUCGUUGAUUUUUCUGGUUAACUGUGGAUU